rfam:TPA: Bos taurus chromosome 27, whole genome shotgun sequence.
AGUAGCUUUGACAGUAAAGCAUCUGCCUGCAAUGCAGGAGACCCAGAUUCGAUCCCUGGUU